CGUAAUGCCNUUAAUUUGGUGUUGCGGGAAAUUUGGACUGUUACUUUGAAAAAAUUAGAGUGUUUAAAGCAAGCUAACGCUUGAAUACAUUAGCAUGGAAUAAUGAAAUAGGACGUUCGAUCUUAUUUUGUUGGUUUCUAGGAUUGACGUAAUGAUUAAUAGGGAUAGUUGGGGGCAUUAGUAUUCAAUUGUCAGAGGUGAAAUUCUUGGAUUUAUUGAAGACUAACUACUGCGAAAGCAUUUGCCAAGGAUGUUUUCAUUAAUCAAGAACGAAAGUUAGGGGAUCGAAGGCGAUCAGAUACCGUCGUAGUCUUAACCAUAAACUAUGCCGACUAGGGAUCGGAUGAUGUUAAUUUUUUAAUAACUCAUUCGGCGCCUUACGGGAAACCAAAGUGUUUGGGUUCCGGGGGGAGUAUGGUCGCAAGGCUGAAACUUAAAGGAAUUGACGGAAGGGCACCACCAGGGGUGGAGCCUGCG
rnacentral:rRNA from 1 species